rnacentral:tRNA from 1 species
GGCCUCGUAGCUUAACUGGAUAGAGUACCUGGUUACGGCCCAGGAGGUUAGGGGUUCGAAUCCCUUCGAGGUCA